CCUGUUAAAAGGCAGAAACCUAGGACAGAUCCUCCGGCUCUAGGUGGGUGGUUGUCUGUCUCGACCAGUUGGGGUGAGAGAGAGAGAGAGAGAGAGAGAGAGAGAGAGAGAGAGCGACAGACAGACAGACAGGUGCACAGCAACAACAGUAUUGGCAAUGGCAGUCAAGCAGGACCAUGGCAGGAGGCUCCACCAGGAUCCAUGAGAACCUGCGAGACGAGAAAGCACAAGAACUCCGGGGAAGAAGUGGAGUUAGUAACAUGCAUUAAUGGGACAUGAAUGAGUGCAGAAAGAGAGAGGAAGAGAGGAGCUCAGUGCACCAUGGGAAAUCCCCCGAUAGUCUAGGCCUAUAGCAGCAUAACUAAGGGAUGGUUCAGGACUCACCUGAUCCAGCCCUAACUAUAAGCUUUAUCAAAGAGGAAUGUCUUAAGCCUACUCUUGAAUGUGGUGAGGGUGUCUGCCUCCCAAACCACAACUGGAAGCUGGUUCCACAGGAGAGGAGCUUGGUAACUGAAGGCUCUGGCUCCUGUUCUACUUUUAGAGACUAUAGGAACCACAAGUAGCCCAGCAUUCAGAGAACAUAGUGUUCUAGUGGGGUAAUAGGGUACUAUGAGCUCUUUAAGAUAUGAAGGGGCCUGACCAUGAAGAGCUUUAUAGGUGAGGAGGAGUAUUUUAAAUUCAAUUCUACAUUUAAUAGGGAGCCAAUGCAGAGUAGCUAGUACAGGAGAGAUGUGAUCUCUUUUUCUAGUUCCUGUCAGUACUCGUGCUGCAGCGUUCUGAAUUAAUUGGAGCGUUUUAAUGGACUUAUUGGGGCAACCUGAUAAUAAAGAGUUGCAGUAAUCCAGCCUUGAAGUAACAAAUGCAUGGAUUAGUUUUUCUGCAUCUGUCUGUGAUAGUAUGUGUCUAAUUUUUCUAAUAUUACGUAAAUGAAAGAAGGCAGUCCUAGAGGUCUGCUUUAUGUGGGAGUUAAAUGACAAAUCCUGAUCAAAGAUAACUCCAAGAUUCCUGACAGUGGUGCUAGAGGCCAAGUUAAUGCCAUCUAGAGUGACUAUAUCUUUAGACAAUGAGUCUCUAAGGUUUUUGGGGCCAAGAACAAGAAUUUCGGUUUUUUCUGAGUUUAACAUCAGAAAAUUGCAGCUCAUCCAGGAUUUUAUGUCCUUAAGACAUGUUUGUAAUUUAGAUAAUUGAUUUCAUUGGGCUUGAUCGAUAGAUAUAACUGGGUAUCAUCUGCAUAACAUAUAGAACAUAUCUGUGUCUUGAGACAUGUUUUUGUGACCUGAAACAUGUUUGAUCAAAUGUUCACCUGGAUGAUGUUAUACCUGCCUCAGUCUGACCUAUAACUGUGUUGAAUAUUACAUAUUCAGCAAACACCUGAACUGAAUAUAAAGUUGAUUAUGUUCUGUUACCUGAGAGGAUCUGUCGCAGGUAUGAAGGAUAUCUGUAUCAUAGUGUCCAAUAAAACGUGUAUUGUAGCAUA